CCCCUCAUAGCUCAGUGGUUAGAGCGCCUGGCUGUAGCCCGGGAGAUCCCCAGUUCAAUUCUGGGUGGGGGGA
rnacentral:tRNA from 1 species